rnacentral:rRNA from 1 species
ACGAACGCUGGCGGCGUGCUUAACCCAUGCCAGUCGAACGGAAAGGCCCUGCUUUUGUGGGGUGCUCGAGUGGCGAACGGGUGAGUAACACGUGAGUAACCUGCCCUUGACUUUGGGAUAACUUCAGGAAACUGGGGCUAAUACCGGAUAGGAGCUCCUGCUGCAUGGUGGGGGUUGGAAAGUUUCGGCGGUUGGGGAUGGACUCGCGGCUUAUCAGCUUGUUGGUGGGGUAGUGGCUUACCAAGGCUUUGACGGGUAGCCGGCCUGAGAGGGUGACCGGCCACAUUGGGACUGAGGUACGGCCCAGACUCCUACGGGAGGCAGCAGUGGGGAAUAUUGCACAAUGGGCGGAAGCCUGAUGCAGCAACGCCGCGUGCGGGAUGACGGCCUUCGGGUUGUAAACCGCUUUCGCCUGUGACGAAGCGUGAGUGACGGUAAUGGGUAAAGAAGCACCGGCUAACUACGUG